GACGAACGCUGGCGGCGUGCCUAAUACAUGCAAGUCGAGCGAAUCAAUAGGAGCUUGCUCCUGUUGGUUAGCGGCGGACGGGUGAGUAACACGUGGGCAACCUGCCUGUAAGACUGGGAUAACACCGGGAAACCGGUGCUAAUACCGGAUAAUCCUUUUCCUCACAUGAGGGAAAGCUGAAAGUCGGUUUCGGCUGACACUUACAGAUGGGCCCGCGGCGCAUUAGCUAGUUGGUGAGGUAACGGCUCACCAAGGCGACGAUGCGUAGCCGACCUGAGAGGGUGAUCGGCCACACUGGGACGGAGACACGGCCCAGACUCCUACGGGAGGCAGCAGUAGGGAAUCUUCCACAAUGGACGAAAGUCUGAUGGAGCAACGCCGCGUGAGCGAUGAAGGCCUUCGGGUCGUAAAGCUCUGUUGUUAGGGAAGAACAAGUACCGGAGUAACUGCCGGUACCUUGACGGUACCUAACCAGAAAGCCACGGCUAACUACGUGCCAGCCGCCGCCGUAACAC
rnacentral:rRNA from 1 species